rnacentral:lncRNA from 1 species
UAGAACCCCUUCCCCUCCCAAGACCUUUCCCCUCGAGGGGGCCCCCCUCACUCCCUUUCCUGUCACCCGGGGCUCCCCCUCCCCUGCUCAGGGCCCACUCUCUGCCAGCUGAGCGUCCCCCUCCUGUCGCCGUGCCCCCUCCUCCAGGGCCAAGGAGCGGGCCCCGCGCACCCGGCCCGCCAGCACCUCGCCGUCCCCGGGCAGGCACGGCGGGCCCGAGGGGAGGAGCUCGUCGCGCAGCCCAGGCCAGCACCCGCGCUCCUGGAGCUCCAGCCGCUCGCCCUCCAAAUCCCGCUCGCGCUCGGCGGAGAAGAGGGCCCGCAGCCCCAGCCGCUCGCCGUCGCCCAAGAAAACCCUGGGUCGGGACAAGGACGGGGAGAGCCGCGCGAGGCACGCCGAGGCCGAGGCCGCCCGCGCCCGGCGCCGCUCCCGCAGCUACUCGCCCAUCCGCAAGCGGCGCCGGGACUCGCCCAGCUUCAUGGAGCCGCGGCGCAUCACCAGGUCCAGCCUGCUGAGUGGCCUGUGGCCAGCCUGGGGGCCGGGUGGACCCCCUCUCCACAGGCCGCAGGGGAGAUACCCAUUGCCCGGAAGCGUCCCAUCCCCUACUACCGACCCAGCCCCUCGUCCUCCUCCAGCUGCCUGAGCAGCGACUACUCAAGCCGGAGCCCCAGCCACAGCCCCAGCCCCGGCCACAGCCACGGAAGCUACAGCAGCCGCAGUCGGACCCGCAGCCGCACACGAAGUCCCUCCCAGACCCCCACUCCCAGCUACCACAGCCGGAGCAGCUCAGAGAGUGGGGGCUUCUGAGCCCAGGGAACCCAGCUUCAUGCCCCCUGGCACAGGGCAAGGCGAGGGCCCCAGGAGCCAUGGGAGGCAGUGGGGCCUGCACCCCACUGCUACAAAGAGGUCCCGGGACUGGGGAAGACCUUGAGGGUGGUGGGUGCCCUGAAGACAAAGAGGAGCUGGAUUCUGCUGCUUCUGGAGGGUCCCCACCCCACCUCCUGCUCACCCACGCAGUCCAGGGAACAAAGAGCCGUUUCGAACACAGGGAUCAUCACCCUUUCCUGCUUGAUGCCAGCUCACCAGGCUGAGGACCUCAGUCCAGUGGAGCCAGGGACAUCCUCUUAAAAGUGCCAGACCUGGGAGCCUCCCCUGCCACUCCCUAGGGCCCUCAGUUCCUCUCCACCUCUGGGUGGACACGGAGUGGGACAGCAGGCAGGAGCUAAGUUAGACAGAAGGAGGAACGGCCUAACCCUCGGUGCACCACCCUCCAGGCUGGGGAACCCCCUCCUUCUGAGCUGGCUGCAGAAGGACCCUGGCUGCAGGCUAGAGGCUGGCCCCACGGCCUCCACAAACCCCUUCCCUGGCUCAAGAGUGCACAGACUCCGUGGGGCCCCUGAGCCUUAGCUCACCCUUGGUCCCACCUCUUCAGGCCAGGCUCUCCCCUCCAGCCGUUGCCCUGUGCUCUUCUGGGCCAGGGCUUCCCCAGGCCCAGACAGGUCAGGCUGUCUGCGUGACCCGAGAUGGGGCCUACAGACCCCAGCCGCCCCUGACUCUGAGAUGAAAGGGGUCAGGUCAGGAGGUGGAAGAGAGAAGGGGGGGAUGGAGGAGGAGCCUGCAGGGGGGAAAGCAGCGCAGUGGGAGGACUGAGCAGGCUCCGGAGUCCCGGCGUGCCCAGUGGCUGGGACCUGGGCCAGAUGGCACGGGCAUAGGAUAAUGUGCACUCCAGGGCAUGCCCAUGCGAGCAGGGAGCCAGGGGGAGCACUCGUUCCUCCUCUCCCAGAGUGGGGUGCUACAGCCCUUCGAAGAAAGGGUAGACUCUAGACUGAGGGCGGUGGCCUGGGGCACGGACGGACGGACAGACGGACGGGGAAGCAGUGAGCCCCCAGCCCUCUCCUGCUGCUCCCAGCCCCCUCCUCCUGGGGCCCUCAGGGAUCUCACAAAGUCUUCCUUGGCCCAACAGGGCAGAUGCCCUGGGCUCCAGUGGGGGGAGGGGUCUGGGGUCUGAUCCGGGUUUCCUCCCCCCACCCCCACCCCCAAUUUCCCCUUCCUUCUCCGCAGUGCGGAUUGAAAUCGGACUCUAAAUAAUAAACACUUGGAGCCCGGACGGCA